UCUCAAUUCAUAUUUUGAUAUGAGAUGGAAGCCUAUUGAGAAGAAACUGCCAAAAACAGAUGGUCAUGCAUUGCCAACUAAAUCUAGACCUCGAGAAGAUGUUGAGACGGUUAAUCACAUGCCUCAAAAAAAGAUGAAAUUUGCUUCCAGGCCCCAAGAAGUAACACCCAUAGCCUCCAAGCGUGUAAUGACGGAUGAAGAAAAGCUAAAUCUGGGGAGAGAGCUGGAGUCAAUGUUAGGAGAAUUGCCCUUGCAUAUAAUUAACUUCUUGAGAGAGCAUAGCUCUGGUGGAAGGGAAUGUGGAGAAGAUGAAUUUGAGAUUGAUAUUGAUGAUCUCAGCGAUGAUACACUUUUCAAAUUAAGGAAGCUACUGGAUGAUCAUUUUCAGGAGAAACAAAAGAAUAAUGCUAGUGCUGAACCUUGUGUGAUUGAGUUGCAGAUGUUGAAUGACUCUGGAGUAAGCAACUCAUCAAUGCAACCAUCUAAAGGGAGUGGGCCAGUUGAUGAGGAUGUGAAUGCUGGUGGACAUGAAGCUCCUGUUUCAAGCUGUGCUCCUAUGGAAAUAGAGAGAAGUGCUAUGGAUGCUAUCCAUAGGAACAGCAAAUGCACGAGCUCAAGAAAUUCAAAAGAUUCAGAUUCUUCUUGUUCUGAAAAUGACUCUGAGUGUGAUAAAGCUCCAAUUCAAGUACACGAGCAGGUUCCAGAAACCAUUGGCUCUGAAGGUCCAAUAAUUGAAACUACAACCUCGGACGAACCAUUUGAAAGAAAUCAAUCUGAAGGCGGCUACGAACAACUUGAGCAGACUUCCAGCAAGCCUAGUUCUACUGAGUCAGAUUGCAAUCAGGAUGGUAACUACGCUGCAUCUGAGAAGCCAGUCUCCCCUGAGAGGCUUUACCGGGCUGCUCUGCUAAAAAAUCGAUUUGCUGAUACAAUUUUAAGAGCUAAAGAAAAGACGAUGACACAGGGUGACAAGGGUGAUCCUGAGAAGUUGAGACGGGAGAGGGAAGAGCUUGAGCUGGAGCAGAGGAAAGAAAAAGCACGUCUGCAAGCAGAAGCAAAGGCUGCGCAAGAUGCACAAAGACGAGCCGAAGCAGAAGCUGCAGCCGAGGCCAAACGAAAGAGGGAACUUGAUAGAGAAGCAGCACGACAGGCAUUGCUCCAGAUUGAGAAAACCGUUACAAUAGAUGAGAACUCCCAAUUCCUGGAAGACUUGGAGAUGCUUACAGCCGCUCCUACUGAGCAGUUGGCAAGCUCCGGGGAUGAAACAAGCCCCGAUCACUCGCAAGACUGCCUGGGCAGUUUCAAAUUUGUAGGGAGCAAUGCAUUAGAACAACUUGGGUUAUUCAUUAAAGCAGACGAAGAGGAUGAGGAAAUCGAGCCAAAUUACGUCUCAAACUCUAUAAAAGAUGUAGAAGAAGGUGAAAUUGAUUAAGGGAUGAAAAAAAAUUUAGUGGUGUAAUGUUGAAUUGAAUGAUAGAGUUGAUCAAGGCAAUGAAUGGAAUUUAUCCUUUUAACUGAAGAAAUUGCUGUUCCUCCUAGUCGUUGUCCUAGUUCUAGUUCUAG
rnacentral:misc_RNA from 1 species